AAUCCAUGAUGCGAGCAGUCUCUCAGCAUUCCUUUAAACCUAUCCCAAGCUUUGUAAAGAGAUUCAGAGUCUAUUUGUUUGAAACUUGCAAUGAAAUUUUGAAGGU